AGGAUAAACGCUGGCGGCGUGCCUAAUCAAUGCGAGUCGAACGGGCACCUUCGGGUGUCAGUGGCGUCCGGGUGAGUAACGCGUAGCUAACCUGCCCACAGGUGGGGAUACCCGCCAGAAAUGGCGGCUAAUACCGCAUAGCGUGACGAGGGGUGACCUUCGGCACGAAAGCAGUGAUGUGUCUGUGGAGGGGGCUGCGUCCGAUUAGCUAGUCGGUGGGUAACGGCCUACCGAGGCGACGAUCGGUAGCUGGU
rnacentral:rRNA from 1 species